rnacentral:misc_RNA from 1 species
CUGACCCUAAGAGGAUUAUUGGAUUGAGAAAGACACUUGUUUUCUACAAGGGAAGAGCUCCAAGAGGAAGCAAGACUGAUUGGGUCAUGAAUGAAUAUCGCCUGCCUGAUUCUUGCCGCUCACCUAAGGAUAUAGUCUUGUGUAAGAUAUAUAGGAAGGCAACCUCCUUGAAGGUGCUGGAGCAAAGGGCUGCAAUGGAAGAAGAAAUGAAGACAAUUCAUGCAUCUCCACCGUCAUCUCCACUUUCUUCAUUGGACAACAUGUCAUUUUGCAGCAAACCCCAGUGGCUCCAAUAUGUCUUCACCAUGUGGUUUUCAAGAAAGAACUAGAAGAUUUGGCAAUGGUGAAUGAUGAUGAUAAUAUUGAUAACAAAAAUUAUACAAGAGACGAAAAGGAAAAGGGGAAGAAAGGGUCUUCUCUGCAAUUACCAAAUGGAAAUGACAAGCUAACAGAGCUGGAAGUGCCCAAAUUGAGCAUGGACUGGAAUAAUCAGGACAUCAAUUUUUGGUUGAACAGUCCUUGGCUUCAAAGUUU